rnacentral:tRNA from 1 species
GUGGGGUUGUGGCUCAAAGGUAGAGCACUAGCCUCACAUGCCUGAGGCACUGAGUUCAAUUCUCAGCACCACA